rnacentral:rRNA from 1 species
CUGAACGCUGGCGGCGUGGCUAAGACAUGCAAGUCGAACGGGUGUAGCAAUACACCAGUGGCGGACGGGUGAGUAAUGUAUCGCUAAUGUGCCCCGGAAUCCGGGAUAGCUAGCCGAAAGGCUAGGUAAUACCGGAUGAUAUGUCCUGAUGGCAUCAUCGGGACCUCAAAGGAGCAAUCCGGUCUGGGAGCAGGCGAUAUCGUAUCAGCUAGUUGGUGAGGUAACGGCUCACCAAGGCGACGACGCGUAGCCGGGCUGAGAGGUUGGCCGGCCACAUUGGGACUGAGACACUGCCCAGACUCCUACGGGGGGCUGGCAGUAACGAAUCUUCCGCAAUGCACGAAAGUGUGACGGAGCGACGCCGCGUGUAGGAUGAAGUCCUUCGGAUGUAAACUACUGUCAGGGGAAAGAAAGUUCUGAUCUACCCCAGACGGAAGAGACGGCUAACUCUAGUG